UUCUGAAUGUUAUGUUGGAAUCUUCUUUCUUGCAACUUGAAGCCAUUGGUUCGAGUCCUACCCUCCAGAGCAGGAGAAAACAAGCUUGCUCCCUCUUCCAUAUGGCAGCCCUUCAGGUAUUUGAAGAUGGCUCUCAUAUCUCCUCUAAGUCUCCUCUUCUUCAGGCUAAACAUACCCAGCUCCUUCAACC